rnacentral:tRNA from 1 species
GGAGAGAUGCCCGAGUUGGCUGAAGGGGCACGACUGGAAAUCGUGUAUCCCGAGUGAUCGGGAUCGUGGGUUCGAAUCCCACUCUCUCCG